GAAAAACUCCUUGAUGGAAAAUUCACACAGGCUAUCUAGCGUAAAGAUGAUGGAGAAAGACGUAACAGAGUGGGAUAAAUACAAGAAGAGAUAUUCUUAUAGGAAGUACUACGGGAGAUCGUCUUAUUUCUACAUAGUGGAUAAAUAAGGUGUCGAUCGCUGCAUUGCAUGCUUGGCACAAUUUGCGAGGACAUGGGAUGGAACCCUAAGAGGAAAAACAGUCUUUGCGUCUUUGGGAUGAACCAAUGGAUUACACAGGGG
rnacentral:lncRNA from 1 species